rnacentral:lncRNA from 1 species
AUUGGAGAGAAGGAGGAGUGUUCAAAAUGGGGUAUAUAUACUUGUGAUGGUGAGAACAUGUUUUUGUCUGAAUACAAGCUCUUAAAGCUUUGGGUCCUAAGUAAUUCCGUCUCCCAGAUUGCAAUUCCUAUGGCUUCAACUAGAUGUCAAGUCUUUAUUCAAGGUUUCAGGCUUGUUUUUUGAAAAACAAGAAAGAAUUUGGAGUUUUGGGGAAGAGAGCACCGGAACAAUAUCAGUCUUUCGGUGCUCGAGGGAGAGGGCGCGCGCUUACUAAUUUUGCUUUCCUAUUGAACAUACUACUUUCCGUAUGAAAUAUUAUAGUUUAUUUACAUUUUAGGGUACCUGAGGAUUAAAAAGAAACGUCGUUUGACAUGUUUGGACGAAUUUUAGCGGUAGCUUUUUGGACUCCUUUGUCUGCAUGUUGAAUGAGUGGAUUACUGAAAUCGAUGGCGCCUACUAAACAGACUUUUUGUGAGAAAACGAUGCAUCACCAAACGAGAGUAUGGAUAUACAACAACUCAUGGCGAGGCUGAAUCAGAUGAUGGACAACCACACGGUGGCUGAUAUGAAUGAAAGGUUUUCAAGUAGCUCAACUUUCCAACAACAGCAUCAGCAGAGCACUCCUCCAGCGCCUGCACUGGAAUGGGCGACGGGCAUUCGUCGAGCAAAACGGAAUGAGCUAUCCGUAAAUUUACACCUGUGCACUGGGUCUGCUGGUUCGUCAACUGAGAAUAAGGUACACAGAUAGAGAGUGGAGCAUGGCAGAUUUUGAAGACUCCUCAGAUGCACCUACAAAUCAGUAUUGGACUGAAAGAGGAAUAAGUCGGACAACCCAGACAGAGCAAAAGAACGGCCAUCAAAAAGCGAAGGCGGCGUCGCCAGAGACGGGUUCACCAAUUCAUACAUUUUAAAUGCCAGUUAAGAAUUUUGAAAAGCUCUGGCCAAUCGGUCAAAAUAACUCUCUGCUGAAGAUAUUUACGGGGGGAAACUGAAGACAUGAUGUCCGAUGGAGACAGAACCACCCUGGCAUUACCUGAGUUUGAGGACCUGAUUGCAUCAGAAGACUGGAGAAGGGCUAAGCGUGCUUAAGGGGAGAAAAGGCUCCGUCAGAACGAAAUCUGGAGCAACCAUCCAUGUCCACUGCAGCCCUACCCAGAACAUCUGAUUGCAGGUGAUUGGCCGUGGUCAAUUGCACAAAGUUCCUCAGUGUCCACAUCACUAAGGAAUUAACAUGGUCCACACACACACAGUUGUAAAGACGGCACAACAGCACCUCAUCCCCCUUAGGAGGCUGAAAAGUUUUGGCAUGGGGUCCUCAAAGUUCUACAGCUGCACCUUUGAGAGCAGUUUAACUGGCUGCAUCACCACUUGGUAUGGCAACUGCAAGGCACCCAACCGCAGUCCCCAUGCUUGUCUCAGAGCAGCGCAAAACGGUGCUAAAAUAGUUGUAGGCUAUUGCUUCAAAUCCUAUUGCUUCUAACUUCAAUAUGCUCUUUAAAUAAAUAAGACCUACACCACUUUUAACAGCACAUUACUCAACACUAGUGAGACUCAUGUCGCCUAGUGUAGGCCUACAGUUUAUCAAAAAUAUGACAUGACUCUCCGACAAUAAUUACAUAUAGAGGAUUGGAGGAUUCUAAAUUAAAACCAAAAGCCGCCUCAUGGGUCUCCCGGUGGCGGCCGGCAUGAGUAUCUGUAGCAAAGCAUUUUGCAUUGCGGUGACUUAGACAGCUGCGCCACUGGGGAGGACCCAUCCACAAAGUAUCAAAAUACAGAGAGGUGUUGGUAAAGGUAUAUUGUCCUGCUAAUAGCACAUAAUGGGCUAUUAUAUAGUGUACAUGGUGUCCAGGUCAGGAUAACCAAAACAUGUAUUUAUCAAAGACUAUCAGAAAGAAUGUUGGUACUUAUUUAUUUUGAUCCAAAGCCAUGAAUGAGUGAGUCACUCAGCUUUAUGUAGGUGUCAGCUAUAUGACUGUGCCAUCAAGUUGAUAAUAUAUAAAGAUAUUUUGGAGAUUAUUUCGUUUUCAAAAAAAUGAAAGUGAGCGAUUAUAAUCUGAAUAAAAGGCCAAAAUAAUAUUUGUAAAGGCCAAAACAUUUCUGUUUUUAGAGGGAGAGAAACGUUAAGCCAAUUAUGCACCGCACAAUGGGAAAUCCCAAUCACAGUCAGAUGUGAAACAUCAUAAU